AACCUUAUCACCACUCAUUCCUUCAUUCCCGCAAAUACUGAGCGCCUGCAAAAUGCUCUGCACUAUUCUGGAUGCGGGAGAUGAAAACUACCCUGGUUCUUGUCCAGUGGGGUAAAUAGGUGUGCCUACCAUCUCUUGUGCCCUCGGGGCCAUGGGAGCUGCUUGCGUGCAUGCCUGAGAGUCCUUCUUGCCGUGGGAACCGAGGAAUCACUCAGGCCCCAGGCUGCCAGGUGGGGAAACUGAGGCCCAGACAGAGUGCAUCUUGUCCAGAGGAUCUGGUCAGCAGCUCACCAGGCGUGAACCCUCUGAGUCACCCUGCUGGGUGUGGAGGACAGGCACAAUGGAAGAAGAGCCCCUCUCCCCCCACAUCAGAAGGCUACUAGUCUGAUGGUGGAGGCUCUGGACCCACCAGGAGUGAAGGUGGAAACACUGGAGGUCAAAUUAGGGAGUGUGUGUCUGAGCUGAAAAGGGGGCCUCUGCCACCAUGGAAGUGCUCCACCCCCAAGGCUAUUGUGAACAAAGGGUAAUCCAAGCACUUCUGGGGAGCUCACCUUUCCCUAGCUGUGGAUGAACAAAUCAGAACAUUGUGAGAAGUCAGAUGUCUUCUUCCUUUUGAGGACUGCACACAAGGGAUCCCCCUUCACCCACCUGGGUUUGGCCCACAAGGCUGGGUCCCUUCCUCCAUGUUCCCUUCACGUGUUCCAAGAUUUGGAUCAUACAGUAAAGGAGAGAUGAAAGAGCAGUGAAAGAUGUACCCAUCCAUGACAGAGGAAACUGACCUGGGCCUGGUCCCAGGACUUGCUGACACAUGCUGUAACGUGGAUGAACCUUGAAAAUGUCAUGUUAGGUGAAGAAGCCAGUCAUAAAAGACCGCUUAGAGGUCAGAGUUCCUGUCGUGGCUCAGUGGUUAACGAAUCCAACUAGGAACCACGAGGUUGCGAGUUUGAUCCCCGGCCUUGCUCAGUGGGUUAAGGAUCCAGUGUUGCCGUGAGCUGUGGUGUAGGUCACAGACGCGGCUCGGAUCCUGAGUUGCUGUGGCUGUGGUGUAGGCCAGUGGCUACAGCUCCAAAUACACCUCUAGCCUGGGAACUUCCAUAUGCCGUGGGUGCAGCCCUAGAAAAAGGC